rnacentral:rRNA from 1 species
AGUGAACGCUGGCGGUAGGCCUAACACAUGCAAGUCGAACGGCAGCACAGUAAGAGCUUGCUCUUACGGGUGGCGAGUGGCGGACGGGUGAGGAAUACAUCGGAAUCUACUUUUUCGUGGGGGAUAACGUAGGGAAACUUACGCUAAUACCGCAUACGACCUACGGGUGAAAGCAGGGGAUCUUCGGACCUUGCGCGAUUGAAUGAGCCGAUGUCGGAUUAGCUAGUUGGCGGGGUAAAGGCCCACCAAGGCGACGAUCCGUAGCUGGCCUGAGAGGAUGAUCAGCCACACUGGAACUGAGACACGGUCCAGACUCCUACGGGAGGCAGCAGUGGGGAAUAUUGGACAAUGGGCGCAAGCCUGAUCCAGCCAUACCGCGUGGGUGAAGAAGGCCUUCGGGUUGUAAAGCCCUUUUGUUGGGAAAGAAAAGCGGCAGGUUAAUACCCCGCUGUUCUGACGGUACCCAAAGAAUAAGCACCGGCUAACUUCGUG